CUUCCUCUCCAUCCAGCCCGGCGGGAGGGGGACCCUGAGGGUGGGGGCACCAUCAGGGCACUAUAGUAACAGGAAAACAAGUGUAUUCUAUUUGUUGAGGUAGUGGGCACUGUAUUAGAGUGGAGGGAGAGGGAGUGUAUUAGAUUGGGUCUGCAUGGAGGCACUGAACACUUCCAAUGGAGAUGCUGACUGGCUGCACAGCUUUUUGCCACACAUAGGAAAGCAUUGGACAGUGAUGGCAAACCUUUUUGAGCCAGACUGCAAUACAUGCCAACUUUUUUCCCUCAAAGUGCCAACAUUGCAAUUAAGCCUGAAAACUGAGGUUUAAGUUUAGAAAAAAAAAUUACUCGUACAGAUGUCCGAACUAAUGAACCUCUUUUGUUUUAAA